ACUACAACGACCAACUGACCCAUAUUCAGGUAAUGCUGCCCUCUUGUGGCUCGUUGGAGUAACUACAUCCACCUCCGAACCCACAAUCAGGUAAUGCUGCCCUCUUGUGGCUCGUUGGAGUAACUACAACGACCAACUGACCCAUAUUCAGGUAAUGCUGCCCUCUUGUGGCUCGUUGGCGUAACUACAUCCACCUCCUAACCCACUAAAAGGCAAUGCUGACCUUCCUUCUGCUCCAUUUGCAGAAAUCACCACAGACUUCCGUCCGAGAUAGUCCAGUGGUGUAAAACUCUGCCCGCGGUGCCGGUGACCCGGGUUCGAUCCCCACACUCUCUGUCCCAUUUAUAAUAUAUUGCACAUACAUUUACAUAAAUGGAGCAGAAGGAAGGACCGAACUCGAGCCGCCUGCGUCGUAGGUAGCGUAGCUGCACACUGGACAAACUCCAGCUUGACAAUUUUUGGCAUUGGGAACGUAUUGAUCCUUUGCUGUGGUCUAAUACACUGUGCGGUUCUGGUGUCUUUGGUUCGAUUCCCACCGUUUCUGAUUUGUAAAUAUAUAAAUGGAGCAGAAGGAAGGAUAGAACCCGAGCCACCAGCGUCGUAGGCAGUGUCUCUACACACUGGACUACUUGCAUCCAUUCCAAACAUGAUCUGGUACCUUAUAUCCUCGUCCUCGUCCGGAUCCGACCCGAUAUGACCAAAAAUGUUCCAAAAAAAUAGGCUAAUAAUUUAAAACGCUGCCUCCGGAUUCGGCGACCCUGGUUCGAGCCCGGCCUGAGCCCAUCGAUAAUAAGUGAAUUCUCAUUCACGAGGGUCACUUGCUUGUCAGGACUUUGACUCGAUCGCAACUGGACUGUUCUGUCGGACUUGGACGUUUCUCGACAUUUCUCCAAGUAUGUUGAAACACACGAGGACCAUUCGGCCAUCCUUGCUGAACUCUUUUCGCGACGUUUUACUUGUACUUAUGGAAUCUGAUUUCUGGCUUAGUGAAUUGCAUCGAGGACUACGACUCAGUGGGGACUUAGAAGGCGAACGUUCUUUGUGGCAGCAUGCAGUCACCGUCGUUUCCACAAGAUCGACAAAACUUUGACAUUGUGCAAAACUUCAACCUAAAGUGACCAACGUGUUCUUUUUUUUCUUUAAUUUAAACAUAAUGAAUCAAGUAUAUCUAAUUGUCUCAUUUCUGUCCACAAGUUCAAAUCUGCAACAGAAUGGCCAACUUGACCUUAAAAUG